rnacentral:misc_RNA from 1 species
UACGGAGGAUCCAAGCGUUAUCCGGAAUCAUUGGGUGUAAAGGGCCCGUAGGCGGGCUAAUAAGUCAGUGGUGAAAGUCUGCAGCUCAACCGUAGAAGUGCCAUUGAUACUGUUGUUCUUGAGUGUUGAUGAAGUGGUUAGAAUAUGUAGUGUAGCGGUGAAAUGCAUAGAUAUUACAUAGAAUACCGAUUGCGAAGGCAGAUCACUAAUAAUUUACUGACGCUGAUGGACGAAAGCGUAGGUAGCGAACAGG